UUAGAAGGACUCUUGGUAGCAUCAAGCAAGCGGAGCUUGCUUGAUGGAGGGGAGCGGCAGACGGGUGAGUAACGCGUGAGAAUCUACCCAUCCCUACGGAACAACUCCGGGAAACUGGAGCUAAUACCGUAUACGUCCUUCGGGAGAAAGAUUUAUCGGGGAUGGAUGAGCCCGCGUCCGAUUAGCUAGUUGGUGGGGGAGUGGCCUACAAAGGCGACGAUCGGUAGCUGGUCUGAGAGGAUGAUCAGCCGAACUGGGACUGAUACACGGCCCAGACUCCUACGGGAGGCAGCAGUGGGGAAUAUUGGACAAUGGGCGCAAGCCUGAUCCAGCCAUGCCGCGUGAGUGAUGAAGGCCCUAGGGUUGUAAAGCUCUUUCACCGGUGAGGAUAAUGACGGUAACCGGAGAAGAAGCCCCGGCUAACUUCGUGCCAGCAGCCGCCGUAACAC
rnacentral:rRNA from 1 species